GGCUGGCUGGCUCAGUCGGUUGAGCAUCUGACUUCGGCUCAGGUCGUGGUCUCCCGUCCGUGGGUUCGAGCCCCAUGUCGGGCU
rnacentral:tRNA from 1 species